UGGGGAAUAUUGGACAAUGGGGGCAACCCUGAUCCAGCAAUGCCGCGUGUGUGAAGAAGGCCUUCGGGUUGUAAAGCACUUUCGGUGGGGACAAACAAGGCGGAGCUAACAUCUCCGUCCCUGAUGGUACCCAAAGAAGAAGCACCGGCUAACUCUGUGCCAGCAGCCGCGGUAAUACAGAGGGUGCAAGCGUUAAUCGGAAUUACUGGGCGUAAAGGGUGCGUAGGUGGUUUGUUAAGUCAGGCGUGAAAUCCUCGGGCUCAACCUGGGAACUGCGCUUGAUACUGACAGACUCGAGUGUGGUAGAGGAUAGUGGAAUUCCCGGCGUAGCGGUGAAAUGCGUAGAUAUCGGGAGGAACAUCAGUGGCGAAGGCGGCUAUCUGGACUAACACUGACACUGAGGCACGAAAGCGUGGGUAGCAAACAGGAUUAGAUACCCUGGUAGUCCACGCCCUAAACGAUGGGUACUAGACGUCGGGAAGCUUGUCUUCUUGGUGUCGCAGCUAACGCAAUAAGUACCCCGCCUGGGGAGUACGGUCGCAAGAUUA
rnacentral:rRNA from 1 species